rnacentral:lncRNA from 1 species
UCACCCAAUUCAAGCCUUUGUUAAUUCCUUGGUAGUUUUUGCAGUUAAUAAAUUAGUAGAAGAUGGGUUAUCACAAUAAUCUUGAUAAGGUCCGUAAUAAGAGGGCCAAGUUUCCCUACACAAAGGAGCAGAUAAGGAACGUCUUCAAACGUCAUGACAAGAAUGGAGAUGGUCAACUUUCCAAAGAUGAGCUGGACGCAGCCUUCAAAGAACUUGGCUCGAUAUGGCCUCCUGGUAGAGCUUGGUUUGCUCAAAGGUAUGCAGAUGACGACGGCGAUGGCUUCAUUUCUAUAGACAAGGAGCUCAGCAAGCUCGUCCAGUAUGCCCUAGAAUUGAAGUAUACACUUAAGUAAUUAUAGUAUUAGUGGGUAACUAGUUCUUGUAUGUGCUUGCUAUAGAUAUAUUCUCAGCAAGCUCGUUGACUAUGCCCUCAAUUGAAGUUCUCUAUAUAAGUAAUCGUAGUGGUGGAGCUAAACUUGGUGUCUUAGUGACCACAACCACUUCAAGUCUAUAUGUAACUCCGUCUGUGUGUAAGCGUCUUUAAUUACUUGUAAGCAGCCGUAGUACCUAUAUAUGUGUGCAAGGUUGAAGGAACGAAAGAGGUGACCUUUUGUUUCCCUUCGUUACCAGGGAAGAUGAAUUUGAACCCUGAUUAUGUAUAAUAUAUAGUGAUUAACAAGAAUAAAGUAACAAACUUUGUGUAUUGAUAUCUAUUACGUAUACAUGUGUACGUAGGUGUGUCUAUAUAUUUAUAUAUGUACAUAUAUAUUGCAUUACAUACGUAUACAUACACAACUUACACUGAUAUUGUAUUACAUUCCCAAAUUCCUUCCCGGUCAAAAAGUCAACUUUUAUACUAAUAAAAUAUUCUAGGGGCAAAAUAGUCUUUUAUCUGAAUAAAUUAACAAUUAAAAAUUUAUUUAGGACUGGGUUGUUACAUAAACUCUUAUAAAUACCUCCUUAUGGAGAAGAAUAAAGUUAACCUAAUACAUUCAAACCAUAUUCAUAUUUUAGCACUAUGAAUGUUACCUUAUCGAGCAUGAGAUGUAUUUUGCUCACCCAGUAUCUCAUUCUCCUCAUCUAGGGGAGAGUAGCGUUGAAGAGUCGAAAUGGAUGGAGUUAUUUCAGGAUAAUAGUGAGGUUAAUUGGCUAGCCAUGUGUGACUUGACAACUAGUAACGAACCAAUCUGCACAGAACUGGCCAGUACCGCACUUGUGACUGAACCUACCAGUACCGUCGCACCCACAGCUUAUAACGUCUAUGCCGCCCCUCUCUCUACUACCUUUCUAGUACCCGGCCCCGAGUCUCCUCAUUCUAACAUUCUUGAGGUAAGUAUAUAAUCUUUGAUUAAUACUAACAAUGAUUGUGAAAUUAGUAAGUGUAGUGUGUAUCAGUUACCACCAAUGACUAAUCAUAGGAAGCCACCAUACGGAUAUUCACCAGAGCCUGCGACAUAGGUAAAGUAUCUUAUUUCUCAUUAUAUGUCUACUCAUAGAUUAUCUGAAGCUUGUCAGGCAUUUGUAAAUCAAAUGUCUAUGAUGACUAUUUCUAGUAAAGUACAAGAUGCAAUAUCUGAUUCAAAAUGGGCCAGUGCUAUGACUGAAGAGAUGCAAACUCUUGAGAAAGAUCAAACCUAGGAAUUGGUGCAACUGCCAGAAGGGAAGAAACCAGUUGGUUGCAGAUGUGUUAUAAAACACAAACCGGAUGGUUCUAUUGACAAGUAUAAAGCCAGACUUGUUGCCUGAGGUUUUUCCCAGACUUAUGAUAUUGAUUAACAUUUGCACCAAUGACUAAGAUCAAUACCAUUUGAGUUCGAUUAUCUUUAGCUGCAAACUUUAACUGGCCAUUGCAGCAAUAUGAUGUAAAAAAAUACCUUUUUACAUGGAGACUUACAAGAGGAAGUCUACAUGUCAUUGCCGCAAGGUUAUAAUGCUCAUACUGAUGCCAGUGUUCUGCGUAAAUUGAAGAAUACACUGUAUGGAUUGAAGCAGUCUCCGCGAACUUGGUUUAGGAGAUUGCGUCGUGCCAUGAAAAAAUAUGGUUAUGAGCAGAGCAACGCUCAUCAUACUUUAUUUCUUCAAAGGAAGAAUGGUAAGUUAACAGUUCUUAUUAUUAAUGCGGAUGAUAUGAUCGUGACUAGUGAUUGUCUUGAUGAAAUUGACAAAUUAAAAGGCUAUUUAGCUUCUGAGUUUGAUAUGAAGGAUCUCGGUGGAUUAAAAUAUUUUUUAGGUAUUGAGGUAACUUGUUCUGAACAUUGAAUUUUCUUGUCACAAAGAAAAUAUGUUCUUGUCACAAAGAAAAUAUGUUCUUGAUUUGCUAAAGGAAUCAGGUAUGCUUGGGUGUGAACCGAUUGGUACUCCUAUAGAACAAAAUCAUGGUUUGGAAGAAUAUCCAGAUCAAGUUCUAAGUGAUAAGGGACGAUAUCAAAGGUUGGUUGGUCGUUUGAUUUAUUUGUCUCAUACUAGACCUGAUAUUGCAUAUGCAGCAAGUGUUGUAAGUAGGUUCAUGCAUAAUCCAAGUCCAUGAUAUAUGGAUGCAGUAGUCUGAAUUUUGAGGUAUUUGAAAUUUGCACCAGGAAAAGGUAUGAUGUUCUUAAAGCAUGGGCAUGUAAAGGUUGUGGGGCAUACAUACUCAGACUGGGCAGGAAAGGAGGAUAAGAGGAGAUCGACAUUUGGUUAUUUCACGUUUGUUUAGGCGGUAACUUGGUUACUUUAUAGUCUAGGUGAUUGACCCCAAGCUUUUUGGAUGUUAGGUAUAUAUAGUUGGCUAUCGCGUUUAAGUACUUUUGGUUUCAGAGCGACACCCUUAUCCAUAUGGCAUCUACAACACAACAUAAAACAUAAGUUCUUUUCUUUUCAUAUCGGAUAUUGCUUUCGAGUUUCAUAUCCACCACGCUGUGUGUUAUCCCUAUGGCAUCUACGAUGGGGAUGCUUGUCCCAAUAGUCAUAGGCCAAAUCUCACCGAAAAGUCGAGCACUUUUUAGAAAGAAAGAAAGAAAGAAAGAAAAAGAAAAAAAAAAAAAAAAAAAAAAGGGUUUCACAAACCGAAAAGUUGAAUUAUUCAUUUCAACAAUUGGCAGAUGAAGUAUUUUUCUUAUCAACUUUACUACCAAAGAAAAGCUCACAAACCGUUUUAGACCAAACAAUUAAGCAUCUAUUAUCACUACUUGCAAGGUUCCAUGCUUUAUGUGCACGCAAAAUCUAGUCCAUAUAUCAUCCAUUGGAAUCAAGUAUUAUUUUUAAGGAGAGUGAUUGGCUCCUUGCCAAACUAUAUAUCAACAAAAUAUUAGCUAAAAUAUUGACAAUGUACCAUAUAUUGUAGAUAUGUUAGUACUCGAUACCAACAAAUUCUUUUCCAGAAUAAAGACCCAUGAGGCAUGUGACUUGAGGAAUAUUAGAAUACUUUUUUAAGGUCCAACAUGUGCGCAGGGGACCAGGCAGAAUCUUGUAUAAAUGGGAUUGAAUUCAUAGUGCAAGUCAUACAAGCCCUAGUUAAUUCCUUAUCCUUGGUAGUUUUGCAGUUAAUAAAUUAGAAGAAGAUGGUUUGGGAAACAAAAAGGUAUAAGGCCCCGAGCAAGGUUCCCUACACAAAGGAGCAGAUAAGGGACGUCUUCAAACGUCAUGAGACGAAUGGAGAUGGUCAACUUUCCAAAGAAGAGCUGGAUGCAGCCUUUGACGAACUUGGCGCGAAAUGGCCUCCUUUUAGAGCUUGGUUUGCUCGACGGUAUGCAGAUGACAACGGCGAUGGCUUCAUUUCUAUAGACAAGGAGCUCAGCAAGCUCGUCGAUUAUGCCCUAGAAUUGAAGUAUAUACUUCAUUAAUUAUAGUAUUUGUGGGUAACUAGUUCUUGUAUGUGCUUGCUAUAGAUAUAUUCUCAGCAAGUUCAUUGACUAUACCCUCAAUUCAAGCUUUCUAUAUAUGUAACUCUGUCCGUGUGUAAGCGUCUUUAAUUACUUAUAAGCCACCGUAGUUCCUAUAUAUGUGUGCAAGUUGAGGGAACAAAAGAGGUGAUCUUUUGUUUCCCCUUGUUACCAGGGAGGAUGAAUUUGAACCCUGAUUAUGUAUAAUAUAUAUAGUGAUUAACAAGAAUAAAGUAACAAACUUUGUGUAUUGAUAUCUAUUACAUAUAUAUAUAUGCGUACGUAGGUGUGUCUAUAUAUUUAUGUAUAUACAUAUAUAUUUUAUUACAUACGUAUACGUACACAACUUACACUGAUAAAAGCUCCGUGUUAUAGAGAUUACUGCAAUCCACUCAACACCACAUGUGGAAGCAUGGACAUUAGCAGAGUAACUUAAUAUGAUUCCAUACCAAUAUCUUGUUCAAGUGGCGUAGAGAUUUAAAUUUAAAAUCUUCAUAUAAGUAUAUCAAAAAAGAAAAAGAAGAAAAGAAAGAACUCUCACACAACUUUUCAUUGUUAUACACUCUUUUCCUAAGGGUGUACAUCCGUUCAAAACUAAUACAAUUUUACCAAUCUGCAUCUGAUUCAAUAUAUAGAUUGGAUUAUGAUUUUCUAAUCCAAUCCGAUCUCAUUAGAAGUAUAAAUCCAAUCCGAUCCAAUUAAAAUUGAAUUAGACUGGAUUGAAUGAUCAAUUUUUAUAAUGAAAAAUAGUAAUAACAAAAUAUAAAACAUUUAUCUUCAAGUUGAAUAUAAUCAAACAUUUCAGAACUUGGAGAGCACGAUGCCAUGCAGAUACCAACAGCAAAGACAGGUCCAUCCUCAACGUCAACGACCUUGUCAAAUAUGCCCUAAAACGUGGCUAUAAACUCUGAUUAACUCAGAAGCAGAUGAGGGGUUUUAGUCAACUAAUUAAUAUAAUAUAUAUGUGUAUAUGUGUGUAUGUAUGAGAGUUUUUAAUUACUUAUCUGCGAGUUCCAGCCAUAUAUACAUAUAUGUGUGUAUGCUAGAGAAGGAAGGAGGUGAGCUUUUGUUUCCCCCUCUUUGGCAAGGUUUGAUGAAUCAGAAUUAUGAUUUAUGUGGAAACUUUUGUAUUUCGCAAUGUGAUUUAAUAAUCAAAAAAAUUUAUAUUUAGAUAUCCUUUAUUAAGUAUCACCAAUUUAAUAUAAUUUUAUAAUUCACACCAACUAGCUUUUAAUAUAAUGAUAAUUGUCUCCACUUAAUUGAAUAAAGUUGCUACUCCGCUCCCUUCGCGGCCUCGGCAUCCCUGACAGCUUGGAUAGCAGCACCACCAAAUCUUGAUUUGAUUCAUAUGAAUACAACAUAACCUGCUUUGUAAACCUCGUAUGUAUAGUUUGAAGAGGAAAAGAAUUAUCAUCCAUACCAAAUCCAGAAAAACCAAAUUAUGUAUAUUAAAUGAGUUAGUAGUUACAAGGUCAAUAAUUUAUGGAGUAUAGGUGAUUGACCCCAACCUUUUUGGAUGUUGGGCAUAUAUAGCUAGCUGUCGCGUUGAAGUAGUUUUGGUUUCAGAGCGACACUCUUAUCCAUACAAUAUGUCGGUGUGCCGAUGAAAGAAUCUAUUGAUUUGUCCUCGCAAUGCAAGUGAAGGAUAAACGGCAAACUGUGUGAAUGUUUUUACUGUGAUCAGUAUGGUUGUAGAAACCAAAGCGAAGGCCUAGCUAGUUGACCCAAGUCAAGCAAAAGAAUCUAUUAGAAUUCUUCAUGUAGGACGUACGCAGGCUUAGUUUUUGUGCUUGCUGCUGAUUAGUCUGUGAUCAUGUAAUAUAAUGUCUCUGUGUAUGUACAUAUAUGCGUAUGUUAAUGAAUUAAUGACCAGUGAGCAGCCAUAGCUCUGUUUCAUAAAAUGGAUAAGCACAAAAUUUAGAAAAUAUGUGAAGGGCAUUAGUUAAUGGUUAUGUUGUUUUAUUGUUAAUGUCUAAUCUAUAUUUCAGUAAUACCAUGUGACACCAAAUGAGUUCUGUUACAAUCACCUUUUUCAUUUUCUUUUAUGAAAAAAAAGAAAAAGAAAAAAAAAACUUGAAACCAAAUGAGUUUGAUUCACAUGAAUUGCAUAAUGGGUAUAAGAUUGUCGCAAGUAAUUUGUUGAAGUGUUUCUCAUACAAUGACUCCAAAAUCAGAAGCCAAAAAGGGGAAGAAAAAUUAUGAAGCCAGAACCUGGCUUACCUGACGAAUCAGCAUCCAACGAGAGAAAAGUUGAAGCCGAUCGAGUUUAUGAUUUUCUUGGAGGACUUGAUUCACCGUAUGAUGGUGUCUAUAGCCGUAUUCUUACUCUUAGUCCUAUCCCGCCCCCUCUCGAAGCCUAUACCAUGGUCAUGGAGGAAGACACUCGUUAGUCUGCUAUGCUUAGAGGAGGUUCGAUGGCCCUCAAAGUCGACCCAGCCCGUCAAUGACCGGUCACUACCCAUCCAGAAAAUUUUCUUCUUCUGCUAGGCCUCGUUCUUCUGGAUCUAUCCCUAGCUCUCUUGAAGGUCCUCCUAAGUGUCGUCAUUGUAAUGGGAAUCACUAUUCUGAGAAGUGUUUUAAGGAGCAUGGUUAUCUUGAUUGGUUUGCUAACUACACGGCUCGUAUGUAUGGUCCUAAAGCCGCCUAUACUAUGACUCAAGAUGAGGCUCGUCCUCUGGCCCUUUCUACAAAUCUGUGUGCUUCUGAUACCAUGCCAUGUAUGGGUUCUAAUACUUGGAUAAUUGACACUGAUGCUUCUGAUCAUAUGACUUUUGAUAAUAAUAUGUUUGAUGAGUUGUCCCAUAACCCUCGUGACCCUUAUAUUACUAGUGCUAAUGGUUUACCUUCCCCAGUUAUUGGUGAAGGUACCAUCCAACUCGCUCAUUCUUUACCUCUAUCCCAUGCACUCUUGGUUCCAAAUAUUCGUUGCAAUUUGUUAUCUGUUGGGCGUUUACUUGAUACACUUAACGCGUCUGCUACUUUCUAUUCUACCUAUUGUUUUUCCAAGAUCUCAAAACUCACGAGAAGAUUAGGCAUAGUAAAUAGAUGGGGGGUUGUAUUACUUAUAGUUAUCAGUUGCAGCAGUUCGUGGUUGUGUCGCUAAUAAAGUUUAGAAUGGCAGUGUCAAAGACAAGCAACAACUUUGGUUGUGGCAUCGUCAUUUAGGACAUCCGUCCUUUGUUUAUCUUAAACAUUUGUUUUCUUCAUUAUUUAGUUUGUGUGAUGAGUCUAGCUUCAAAUAUGAAACUUGUGUAAUGGCCAAGAGCUACCGUAUUGUUUUUCCCUUGAGUAAUAAUAAAGCUGCAUUGCCUUUUGAGUUAGUACAUUCGGAUGUAUGGGGUCCUUCCCGUGUGACUUCUAAUGGUUUCCGUUGGUUUGUCACGUUUAUUGAUGACUGCACUCGCUUAACAUGGGUAUAUUUGAUGAAGCAUAAACAUGAUGUUGCCUCUAUUCUUCCUAUUUUUUGUGCUAUGGUGUCUACUCAGUUUCAUGCCAGUAUUAAAGUAUUUCGGACUGAUAAUGGAGGUGAAUAUGUGAAUCAUACCUUGACCCAUUUCGUCCGUGAUCAAGGUAUCAUCCACCAAACUACCACUCUAUUCACUCCUCAACAGAAUGGUAUGUCUGAACGUAAGAAUCGUCAGUUACUUGAAGUUGCUCGCUCCCUUAUGUUGGAUAUGUCUUUUCCCCAUCAUCUUUGUGGACACGGUGUCUUGGCCACUGCUCAUUUGAUUAACCGUACUCCUAGUCGGGUUCUUGAUUUCAAGACUCUGCUUGAUGUGUUAUGUACCCAUACUUCUCCAGUCUCGGUCUCUAAGUUACCUCCAAAGGUGUUGGGUGUGUUGCUUUUGUUCAUGUCUACUCUCAUUAACGGAGUAAACUGGACCUGUGUGCGCUUCGCUGUGUCUUCAUUGGCUAUUCUACCACUCAAAAGGGUUACAAGUGCUAUCACCCUCAUUCACAGAAAGUACAUGUUACUUUGGAUGUCAUCUUUCACGAAAAAGUAUCGUAUUAUGUCUCUUCCUCCUCUCUAAUUCAGGGGGAGAAGGGGAGUGAAUUGAAGAGUUUCGGAAUGGAAAAUCAUGGACGUAAAGAGGCAUGUGAAGGAAUUUCUGACCAAGUGCCAACGACCGGUCGUGUAAAGGAAGCAACCGGUCACCAAGUAAUCUGCCUGGAAUCGACCGGUCGAGCAGACGAUGACGACUAGUCGCAUGCCUAGAUGACUGAUGACUGCCAGGAAACGACGAUCGAUCGCUCAAAAGAUGACGAUCGGUCGCCUAUUGAAUUCUUUGAUGAAAUUUGCUCUUCGCCAAAAGAACGUGACAGUGAUACUGGUGACUCUUGUGAAGAUAAGAUCGAUAUAAGACCCCCAUCUGCUCUGCCACUGCCCCAAUCAACUCUUGAUAAUGAUGAAGUACUUUCUAAUGAUGUGUCUACUUAUUCAUUACCCCCACCCACUACUCGUGGUAAACCUAAAGUACAAUAUUCUAUUGAUAUACAUUCCAAAUCUAAAUAUCUCAUUAACCAUUAUGUGCCAACUCAUCGUCUAUCUAAGUCAUAUGCAUCAUAUUUGUGUCAAUUAUCUAGUGUUUGUAUGUCAACUAAGUUGCAUGAUGCUUUAUCUAAUCUAAAAUGGGUAGAUGCAAUGCAUGUUGAGAUGGAAGCCUUGAACAAGAAUGCCACUUGGGAGCUAGUUCCUUUACCAAAAGGAAAAAAGGCAGUUGGGUGCAGAUGAGUGUUUACUUUGAAGACAAUGCUGAUGGUUCCAUUGACCGUUACAAGGCAAGGUUGGUAGCAAAAAGUUAUACUCAGACUUAUGGAGUGGAUUACACAGCGACCUUUGCUCCAGUAGCAAAGCUCAAUACUGUGCGCGUACUCUUGACCUUGGUUGCUAAUCAUGAUUGGCCUAUGUUACAAUUCGAUGUCAAAAAUGCAUUCCUCCAUGGUGACCUCAAGAAAGAAAUAUACAUGGAUCCUCCGCCGAGUAUUCCUGUGACCUCUAAGGAGGGUAUGGUGUGCAAACUAUGGAAAUCCUUAUAUGGAUUAAAGCAGUCUCCAAGAGCUUGGUUUAGGAAGUUUGCUGCAUCUAUUAGGAAGUUUGGGUAUGUAUAAAGUAAUUCGAAUCAUACGUUGUUUCUGAAGGGUCGCAAAGGUAAAUUGACAGCUUUAAUAAUUUAUGUUGAUAAUAUAAUUGUAACUGGAGAUGAUCAUGCAGAAAUACACAGUCUCCAGAAAUAUCUGGCGUCUGAGUUUGAGAUGAAAUCAUUAGGUGACUUGAAGUAAUUUCUCGGGAUUGAAGUUGCUAAAUCUAAGCGUGGUAUUUUCCUGUUUCAAAGGAAGUAUAUUUUGGAUUUGCUUGCAGAAACUGGAAUGAUGGAUUGUAAACCAAUUGAUAAUCCUAGUGAACAAAAUCACAAGUUGGGGUUCUAUCCUGAUCAAGUUCCUACUGAUAAGGAGUGCUAUCAACAGCUCGUGGGGAAAUUAAUUUAUUUAGCUCAUACAUGUCCUGACAUUGCGUAUGCAGUGAGUGUAGUGAGUCAGUUUAUGCACUUGCCUAGUGAAGACCAUAUGGGAGCUGUGACGCGUAUUUUGAGAUAUCUCAAAGUAACUCCUGGCAAUGGGUUAAUGUUUUCAAAGUAUGGUCAUAUAGAUGUGGAAGGAUACACAGAUGCUAAUUAGGCAAGUUUAGCUAUUGAUAGGCGUUCUACGUCUGGGUAUUUUACGUUUGUUGGUGGUAAUCUUGUUACUUGGAGAAGCAAGAAACAAAAUGUGGUGUCUUGUUCUAGUGAUGAGGCUGAGUAUCGUUGGAUGGCCCAUGACGUAUGUGAGUUACUGUGGUUGAGGAGAUUAUUGAGAGAUCUUGGCUUUGGACCUAAGAAACCUAUGGAUUUAUAUUGUAACAAUAAGGCUGCGAUUGCAAUUGCUCAUAAUCAUGUACAACAUGAUCGUACAAAGCAUGUGGAGGUUGAUCGAAAUUUCAUUAAAGAGAAGUUCGAUGCGGAGAUUGUUUCCUUCCCAUUCAUCAGUUCUGAGUAUCAGUUAGCUGAUGUCCUUACGAAAGCUGUUUCUACAAGUAUCUUCCUCAACUCGCUUGACAAGUUAGGCAUGUGUGACGUCUUUGCUCCAACUUGAGAGGGAGUGUUGGCGAGAUAUCCUAACCCUAUUAGGAUAUUUCCUUCUUAUUCUAAUAGGAUUUUAUUUAUUUCUUUUUGUAUAGAUAUUACGUAAUUAGGACUUUUCUUAUUUCCUAGUAUAACCCUAUUAGAGUUUGUAACCUUGUAUUAUAAAUACCUCCUUUCGAAAAAUGAAAUACAUAUAAAAAAUAUUAUACCUAUAUUGUUUGACUAAGAUGAUGCAAGGGUUGAGUCUGAUAAUACGCAGGGUAGAAGAUGAAGAGGCGAGAGAACAUGUUUGUGUCAAACAUGUAUUUUAAUAAUUUUUUUUAAUAAAAAAAAAUGAAUUGAAGAGUUAACAGAGUUAAAAUGUUGUUAAAUAGUGUGCCACAUGUUACAAAAUCAAGGAGGAAAUGGGGACACAGAGAAUUUGGUAACAGAAAAAUUCAACUUGUAAGAGUAGCACUAGUUUAUAGUCCAUAGGUGAUUGACCCCAACCUUUUUGGAUGUUAGGCAUAUAUAGAUAGCUAUCGCGUUUAAGUACUAUUGGUUUCAGAGCGACACCCUUAUCCAUAUGGCAUCUACAACACAACAUAAAACAUAUGUUCUUUUCUUUUCAUAUCGGAUAUGGCUUUCGAGUUUCAUAUCCACCACGCUGUGUGUUAUCCAUAUGGCAUCUACAAUUGGGAUGCUUGUCCCAACAGUCAUACGCCAAAUCUCACAUAAUGAAUCUCGAUCCAACUUAAAGAGUAUAAGAUGGAGAUCUCAAGUACUCUUGAGUCUGAUAAUUAUAUUUCCAACGUUAAUUUAGGGGUUUUAGUACUUAUGAUUAAUAAUUUAUAGUUAAAAUGUUUUUAUAUGUUAUAUUAAAAUACUAUGUGCAAAGGAUUCACUAGUGUAGUGGUUUAAAGCAAUUUCUCUUUCAGACAACGUUAUAGGUUCGAAUUCUAAUAUCUGCUAGAAAGAAAGAAAGAAAAAGGUUUCACUCACAAACCGAAAAGUUGAAUUAUUCCUUUCAACAAUUGGCAGAUGAAGCAUUUUACUGUUAUCAACUUUACUACCAAAGAAAAGCUCACAAACCGCUUUUGACCAAACAAUUAAGCAUCUAUUAUCACUACUUGCAAAGUUCCAUGCUUUAUGUGCACGCAAAAUCUAGUCCAUAUAUAUGACUCGAUUUUUUUUAAAUAAUCAACUGUAGUUUACCAAUUUCAUCUGCGGAAAUUACAAGAGGCAACACUUAGAACAAGAGAAACCUAACUCAAAAACAAGAAGAACAAGAAUUUGUUUGAUAUUUCAUCCAUUGGAAUCAAGUAUUAUUUUUAAGGAGAGUGAUCGGAUCGAUGCCAAACUAUAGUAAGUAUAUAUCAACAAAAUACCAAACUGGAGUAUCAAGAAAAUAUUGAAUAAAAUAUCAAUAAUGUAUCAUAUACUGUAAAUAAAUUGGUACCCGAUACCAACAAAUUCUUUCCCAAAAUAGAGACCCUUGAGGCAUGUGACUUGAAGAAUAUUAGAAUACUUUUGGAGGUCCAACAUGUGCGCAGGGGAUCAGGCAGAGCCCUAUAUAAAUGGGCUCCCUCAUAGUGUACAAGUCACCCAAUUCAAGCCUUUGUUAAUUCCUUGGUAGUUUUUGCAGUUAAUAAAUUAGUAGAAGAUGGGUUAUCACAAUAAUCUUGAUAAGGUCCGUAAUAAGAGGGCCAAGUUUCCCUACACAAAGGAGCAGAUAAGGAACGUCUUCAAACGUCAUGACAAGAAUGGAGAUGGUCAACUUUCCAAAGAUGAGCUGGACGCAGCCUUCAAAGAACUUGGCUCGAUAUGGCCUCCUGGUAGAGCUUGGUUUGCUCAAAGGUAUGCAGAUGACGACGGCGAUGGCUUCAUUUCUAUAGACAAGGAGCUCAGCAAGCUCGUCCAGUAUGCCCUAGAAUUGAAGUAUACACUUAAGUAAUUAUAGUAUUAGUGGGUAACUAGUUCUUGUAUGUGCUUGCUAUAGAUAUAUUCUCAGCAAGCUCGUUGACUAUGCCCUCAAUUGAAGUUCUCUAUAUAAGUAAUCGUAGUGGUGGAGCUAAACUUGGUGUCUUAGUGACCACAACCACUUCAAGUCUAUAUGUAACUCCGUCUGUGUGUAAGCGUCUUUAAUUACUUGUAAGCAGCCGUAGUACCUAUAUAUGUGUGCAAGGUUGAAGGAACGAAAGAGGUGACCUUUUGUUUCCCUUCGUUACCAGGGAAGAUGAAUUUGAACCCUGAUUAUGUAUAAUAUAUAGUGAUUAACAAGAAUAAAGUAACAAACUUUGUGUAUUGGUAUCUAUUACGUAUAUAUGUGUACGUAGUUGUGAACUUGUGUCUAUAUAUUUAUGUAUGUACAUAUAUAUUGUAUUACAUACGUACACAUGCACAACUUACACUAAUAAAAGCGCCAUGUUAUAGAGAUUACUACAAUCCACUUAACACCACAUGUGGAAACAUGGACAUGACCAGAGCAACUUAAUAUGAUUCCAUAUCAAUAUCUUGCCUUUUGUUUUGGUACAUUCUGAUGUUUGGGGCCUACUCCAAUUACUAGUACUUCUGGCUUCCGUUGAUUUGUUAUUUUGUGGAUGAUUGCACUCGCAUAUCAUGGUUGUACCUGAUGCAAAAUAAGAGUGAUGUUUUUGCUUGCUUUCGAACUUUUCACCAGAUGAUUAAAAAUCAAUUUUCUGCUACUUUAAAGGUGCUUCUUUCAGAUAAUGGUGGUGAACAAUUUUGAUGAUUCUUCCCUUCAUCCACACCAUUCUUACACAGUUAUUUUCAGAAACAUGGAAUUCUACAUGAGACUACUUGUCCUUACACACCUCAGCAGAAUGGUGUGGAUGAAGGGAAGAAUCAUCAAAAUUGUGAAAUUACUCAUGCUAGUCUUAUAGGUGCCCAUAUGACCCCAUAAUUCUAGGAGGAGGUGAUCACCUAUACAGUCUAUCUUCUUAAUAUUGUGUUCCUGCUAGUGUCCUGUAGUUUAAGACACCAUUGGACAAAUUUGAGGCUUAUGUUUCCUUCCUAUCUCAUAUCACUCUUCUGUCACAUCUCGGGAUCGGCUCCGUCAUAGCACGAUAUUGUCCGCUUUGGGCCCCCUUUCUGCCCUCACAGUUUUGUUUCUAUGAAUCACGAGCAACUUCCCAGUGAGUCACCCAUCCUGGGAUUGAUUUAGCCCCAACUCGCUUAACUUCAGAGUUCCCAUGACUCUGAAGCCAGUGAGCUCUCAAAAGGCCUCGUGCUAGAUGGAGGAGGGCAUGUACAUAUAAGGCACAUCACCCCCUCUCCGUUGGUCGAUGUGGGAUGUUACACUUCUACCUUGUGUUUUUAGAUGCGUUGCUUUUGUGCACUUGCACAAACAUCAACAUACGAAAUUCGAUCAGUGUGCUGUGAAGUGUGUGUUUAUUGGUUAUCACCCCCAUCAGAAGGGUUAUCGGUACUUUCAUCUACCGAGUCAACAUUUUUAUGUUACUAUGAAUGUUACGCUUUCCAAGCAUGAGAUGUAUUUUGCUAAACCAGUAUCUCAUUCUCCUCUUAUGGGGGAGAGUAGCGUUGAAGAGUCAAAAUGGAUGAGUUAUUUCAGGAUAAUAAUGAGGUUAAUUGGUAGCCAUGCGUGACUUGACAGCUAGUAACGAACCAACCUGCACAGUACCAACCAGUACCGCACCUGCGACUGAACCUACCUGCACAUUCGCACCCACAGCCGAUAACGUCUGUGCUGCCCCUCUCUCUACUACUUUUCCAGUACCGGCCCUAAGUCUCCUCAUGCUGACAUUCUUGAGGUAAGAAUAGAAUCUUUAAUUAACACUAACAAGGAUUGUGAAAUUAUUGAGCGUAGUGAGUAUCAGUUACCAACAAUGAGUAAUUGUGGGAAGCCACCAUAUGGAUAUUCACCAGAGCCUGCGACAAAGGUAAAGUAUUUUAUUUCUCAUUAUAUGUCUACUCACAGAUUAUCUGAAGCUUGUCAGGCAUUUGUAAAUCAAAUGUCUACUGUGGCUAUUUAUAGUAAAGUACAAGAUGCAUUGUCUGAUUCAAAAUGGGCUAUUGCUAUGAUUGAAGAGAUCCAAACUCUUGAGAAAAAUCAAACCUAGGAAUUGGUGCAACAGCCAUAAGGGAAGAAACCAGUUGGUUGCAGAUGUAUUAUACCAUAAAACACAAACCGGAUGGUUCUAUUGACAAGUAUAAAGCCAGACUUGUUGCCCAGAGUUUUACCCAAACUUAUGGUAUUGAUUAUCAAGAGACAUUUGCACAUGUGGCUAAGAUCAAUACCAUUCGAGUUCUACUAUCUUUAGCUACAAACUUUAACUGACCAUUGCAGCAAUAUGAUGUAAAAAAUGUCUUUUUACAUGGAGACUUACAGGAGGAAGUCUACAUGUCAUUGUCACCAGGUUAUAAUGCUCCUACUGAUGCCAGUGUUCUGUGUAAAUUAAAGAAUGCACUGUAUGGAUUGAAGCAGUCUUUGCAAGCUUGGUUUAGGAGAUUGCGCCGUGCCAUGAAAAAUAUGGUCAUGAGCAGAGCAAUGCUCGUCAUACUUUAUUUCUUAAAAGGAAGAAUGGUAAGUUAACAGCUCUUAUUAUUUAUGCGGAUGAUAUGAUCGUGACUGGUGAUGAUCUUGAUGAAAUUGGCAAAUUAAAAGGCUAUUUCGCUUCUGAAUUUGAUAUGAAGGAUCUCGGUGGAUUAAAAUAUUUUCUGGAUAUUGAGGUAACUCAUUCUGAAUAUGGAAUUUUCUUGUCACAAAGAAAAUAUGUUCUUGAUUUGCUAAAGGAAACAGGUAUGCUUGGGUGUGAACCGAUUGGUACUCCUAUAGAACAAAAUCAUGGUUUGGAAGAAUAUCCAAAUCAAGUUCCAACUGAUAAAGGACGAUAUCAAAGGUUGGUUGGUCGGUUGAUUUAUUUGUCUCACACUUGACCUAAUAUUGCAUAUGCAGUAAGUGUUGUAAGUAGGUUCAUGCAUAAUCCAAGUUUACGAUAUAUGGAUGCAGUAGUCCAAAUUUUGAGGUAUUUGAAGUCUGCACUAGGAAAAGGUCUGAUGUUCUUAAAGCAUGGCAUGUAAAGGUUGUGGGGUAUACGGACUUAGACUCGGCAGGGAAUGGGGAUAAGAGGAGAUAGACAUUUGGUUAUUUCACGUUUGUUUAGGCGGUCACUUGGUUACUUGGAAGAGUAAAAAGCUGAAGGUUGUCUAUUUGUUGAGUCCAGAUGUCGAGUAUCGGGCUAUGGUGAAAGGUGUUUGUGAAGUGCUAUGGUUAAAAAGGCUUAUGGGGGAGCUAGGUUUUCCUACUGAGAAUACUAUGAAGUUGUAUUGUGAUAAUCAGUCAGCAAUUAAGAUUGCUGAAAAUCCAGUUCAACAUGAUAGAAUGAAACAUGUAGAGAUUGAUCGAAACUUUAUUUAUGAGGAAUUGGAAGAGAAGAUUAUUGAAGUUCCAUAUGUUAAGACUACUGAACAAUUGGCAAAUAUGUUGACCAAGGUUGUAUCAAAUCAAGCCUUUACAGAUUCACUUACCAAGCUAGGUAUCUGCGACAUCUAUGCACCAUCUUGGGGGGAGUGUUGGCUUGAAUCACAAUAGGAAUUAUAGACAAUUACCUUUAUUAUAUUGAUUUGUAAUUAUAGGAAUACCGGUUUGACCUGGAUUGUAUUUAUUCCUUUUUCCUUAUUGUAAUUAGUUACUAGAUAGACUUGUAUUUGUAUCACUAUAAAUACCUCAUUGUGAGAAGAAUAGAAACAUACUGAAUCAUUCGUAACCCUAAAUUCUAUUUGAAUGGUGUUAGCAGCAGCCAAAAAGGGGAAAAAUUUAUGAAGCGAUUUUCCUUCCAAUGGUGAUUGUGAAUUGAGUCGAGUGAGAGAGAAAGACUUAAGAGGCUGAAAGAAUUGACAAAAGCUCGUGAAUCAUCUGCUCGGCAUUGGCACUGGCUGGUUUUCAUGUAAAUUUGCAGUAUGCAAGUUCUGUUCAAAUCACAUUUUUCAUUGUCUUUUAUGGAAAAAAAAACUGAAACCAAAUGAGUUUGAUUCACAUGAAUUGCAUAAUCGGUAUAUGAUUGUCGCAAGUUAUUUGUUGAAGUGUUUCUCAUACGAUGGCUCCAAAAAAGUGGAGAAAAAUUAUGAAGCAAAACCUAGCUUACCCAACGAACCAGCUUCGAAUGAGCGAAAAAAUUUAUCGAACCAGAUACAGGGGCUAAGUUUUGCAUGGCAGAGAUGAUGCAAGGGUUGAGUCUGAUGAUACGUAGGGUAGAAGAUGAGGAGACGAGAGAACAUGUUUGUGUCAAACGCGUAUUUUAAUAAUUUUUUUUAAAAUAAAAAGAAAUGGGUUGAAGAGUUAAUAGAAUUAAAAUGUUGUUAAAUGGUGUGCCGUGUGUCACAAAACCAAUGAAGAAAUAAAGAGGCACAAGAGAUUUGGUAAGAGGAAAAUUGGACUCGUAAGAGUAACACUAAUUUAUAGAGUGGGUGAUUGACCCCAAGCUUUUUGGAUGUCAGGCAUAUAUAGCUAGCUAUCGCGAAGUACUUUUGGUUUCAGAGCUACCGUCUUAUCCAUAUGGCAUCUACAAACAUACAGCAUAUGUCGGUGUGCCGAUCAAAGAAUAUAUAAAGCAUUUUACUGUGAUCCAUUAUACGCUUUCGUCACGUGUAGUGAUCCAUUAUAUUGUUGGAUAUUGCUAUUGGUUUCGGUUUUUUGAAUGAACCAUAAUCUUAAUCUUACACUGCAAGUCCAAACCUUAUCUCUUGUAGUGUUUCAGGCACCCCUUUCUUGUAGUGUUCUUGUGGUGGUUCUGUUCAAAAUGUUGUCCACCCAAAACCUUUGCAUACUUUACAGAAAAAUUACCCCACAUAUCGGAUAUUGCUUUCCAGUUUCAAAUCCACCACGCUGUGUGUUAUUCAUAGGGCAUCUACAAUGGGGUAUGCUUGUCCCAAUAGUCAUAAGCCAAAUCUCACAUAAUGAAUCUCGAUCCAACUUAAAGAGUAUAAGAUGGAGAUCUCAAGUACUCUGAGUCUAAGAAUUAUAUUUCCAACAUGAAUUUAGGGGUUUUAAUACUUAUGAUUAUUUUAUAGUUAAAAUGAUUUUAUAUGUUAUAUUAAAACACUACGUGCAAAGGAUCCACUAAUGUAGUGGUUUAGAGCAAUUGUUCUCUCAGACAACGUCAUGAGUUCGAGUCCUAGCAUCUGUGUAGUUGAAUUAUCCCUUACAAACCGAAAAGUUGGGCACCUUUCAGAAAGAAAGAAGAAAAAAAGGUUUCACAAACCGAAAAGCUGAAUUAUUCCUUUCAACAAUUGGCAGAUGAAGCAUUUUACUGUUAUCAACUUUACUACCAAAGAAAAGCUCACAAACCGUUUUAGACCAAACAAUUAAGCAUCUAUUAUCACUACUUGCAAAGUUCCAUGCUUUAUGUGCACGCAAAAUCUAGUCCAUAUAUGCUACUCGAUUUUUUUUAAUAAUCAACUGUAGUUUACCAAGAAUUUGUUUGAUAUUUCAUCCAUUGGAAUCAAGUAUUAUUUUUUAGGAGAGUGAUCCGCUCGUUGCCAAAGUAUAUAUCAACAAAAUAUUAGGUAAAAUAUUGACAAUGUACCAUAUACUGUAGAUAUGUUAGUACUCGAUACCAACAAAUUCUUUUCCAGAAUAAAGACCCAUGAGGCAUGUGACUUGAAGAAUAUUAGAAUACUUUUUUAAGGUCCAACAUGCGCGCAGGGAACCAGGCAGAGCCCUAUAUAAAUGGGAUUGAAUUCAUAGUGCAAGUCAUUCAAGCCCUGGUUAAUUCCUUAUCCUUGGUAGUUUUGCAGUUAAUAAAUUAGAAGAAGAUGGUUUGGGAAACAAAUAGGUAUAAGGCCCCGAGCAAGGUUCCCUACGCAAAGGAGCAGAUAAGGGACGUCUUCAAACGUCAUGACAAGAAUGGAGAUGGUCAACUUUCCAAAGAAGAGCUGGACGCAGCCUUUGACGAACUUGGCGCGAAAUGGCCUCCUUUUAGAGCUUGGUUUGCUCGACAGUAUGCAGAUGACAACGGCGAUGGCUUCAUUUCUAUAGACAAGGAGCUCAGCAAGCUCGUCCAGUAUGCCCUAGAAUUGAAGUAUAUACUUCAUUAAUUAUAGUAUUAAUUAGUGGGUAACUAGUUCUUGUAUGUACUUGCUAUAGAUAUAUUCUCAGCAAGCUCAUUGACUAUACCCUCAAUUAAAGCUCUCUCUAUAUAUGUAAUCGUAGUGAUGGAGCUAGACUUGGUAUCUUAGUGGCCACAACCACUUCAAGUUUGUAUGUAACUCCGUCCGUGUGUAAGCGUCUUUAAUUACUUGUAAGCAGCCGUAGUACCUAUAUAUGUGUGCAAGGUUGAAGGAACGAAAGAGGUGACCUUUUUUUUCCCUUCGUUACCAGGGAAGAUGAAGAACCCUGAUUAUGUAUAAUAUAUAGUGAUUAACAAGAAUAAAGUAACAAACUUUGUGUAUUGAUAUCUAUUACAUAUAUAUGUGUAUGUAGGUGUGUCUAUAUAUUUAUAUAUGUACACAUAUAUUGUAUUACAUACGUAUACAUACACAACUUACACUGAUAAAAGCUCCAUGUUAUAGAGAUUACUACAAUAUUCCACUCAACACCACAUUUGGAAGCGUGGACAUGAGCAGAGCAACUUAAUAUGAUUCCAUAUCAAUAUCUUGUUCAAGUGGCAUGCAGAUUUAAAUUUAAAAUCUUCAUAUAAGUAUAUCAAAAAAGAAAAAGAAAAAAAGAAAGAACUUUCACCCAACUUUUCAUUGUUACACUCUUUUCUAUAUAAUUAUUUUCUAGGAGUGUACAUCGGUUCGAAACUAAUACAAUUGUAUAAAUCCGCAUUCGAUCUAAUAUAGAUUGGAUUAUAAUUUUCUAAUCCAAUCCGAUCACAUUAGAGAGAUAUAAAUCCAAUCCGAUUUGAUCCAAUUUAUAUUGGAUUAGACUAGAUUGGAUGAUCGGUUUUCAUAAUGGAAAAAGAUAAUAACGAAAUAUGAAACAUUUAUCUUCAAGUUUAAUAUAAUAAAACACUUUAAUAGAAUGUAAAUUUAAAAUAUCAAUGAAAUGCUAGAGAAAAUUAUUCUGAUUUUAUAAUAUAUCAAACAUAACUUCAUCAAAUUACUUAAAAUAUUUAUAACUUUCUAAAUGAAAAUUGCCUAAUAAGCAAAAUGAGGAAAUCCGUCAUCUGAUCUGAUCAUAUGUUGGUGUUGGAAAUUAGGAAUCCAAUCCACUCCGCCAAAUCAUUGAAACAUAUUAAAGUUGAAUUGGAUUGGUCGGUUUAGGGGAAUUAAAUUGGAUCUUGCACACCCCUACUGUUUCCUUUGGUGAGCAUUUACAUUAUACGUCACAAUCUCUUAAAACAUAGCACAACAAAAUGAAUAUAAUGUUUUCAAUAAAACAACGAAAUAUUCGUGAGGAUAAUCAAAUGGUCAAAUGAUUUCAAAUUUGUUGAUUUUCUUAAAUGGAGAUUGAAAAAUUAGACAGUUCAUAUCCUUAAACCACAUGUGGAAGUGCCCAAAAAAGUAAUUAUUUCAUGCAUAUUAUCUACAAAGAGUUCAAUUUGUAAAUAAAUUUUAAUUUUUUUUAUACAAGCGAUGUCUAAAUUAUUCUAAAUUAAUUAAAUUUAUGAGAAGGGAGGUUCGAACUUAGGUGCAAGGAGGCGCGCUCACUUUACUGACCAAUUUGCAUAAUCCACAUCUACAAAUCAUUCUUAUUAAUAAAUUAAAGAAUUAUGAUAUAUGUACACACAUAUAUACACGUUGCUUAACCAAUAAAUGAAAUGGAUGAAAAAUGUUACUCCUUUUUUUCUUUAAUGAAGAAAAAUGUUACAAUUUAUAAAUGGAUAAAGUCACACACACCAAAUACCAAGUCACAUAAGUUAGGGGCAAAAAGGCAGACAUUUCAACUGGCAUGGAGGUCCCGAUGUUACACUUAUGUUUAUUUAUUAAUAUUAUACUCUAGACUCAUAAAAUAUAUAUAUAUAUAUAUGUGACAGAAAUGAUGUUCUAAAUUACUCCAGCUACAGAUAGGCAGGUUGGAAUUCGAGUUCAAAUUAAAGUUUCUCCACCCAUAUUAAUAGCAUAUCAAGACAUUGUACACCCAAAACCUUUUCAUAAUUUACAAGAAAAUCACACCCCUCCCCCAAUCUAUUUGGAUAUGAAGGCUAUCGCUGUCGAGUUUGAUAUCCAUGCUGUGUUAUCCAUAUGACAUCUAUCUACAAUGGGGGUCACUGUGAAAAAAAUAGCAACAGUCACUAUUAUUUGGUGAUUAAAAUUUAGUCACCCCUAAUUAGUCACUAAAUAUCACCUGGUAAUUGUUACUCUUUUUUUUUUUCUUUUUGUAGCGGGUGAUUGUCCAAUAGUCAUAGGCCAAAUCUCACAUAUAAUUGUUCCCAAUAGUCUUCGGUUUGAUUCUUAUAAGGACAAACCAUGUGGCCUUCGUGUUUGUAUAUAUGCCUUUGGUCUGAGGAUUCUAUUUCCAACAUGAAUUUAGGGAUUUUAAUUCUUAUUGUUAAAAAAUGCUUCACCACGUUGGCCGGCGGAAAAGUUGAAUUAUAGAAAGAAUAAAAACACAAACGGAAAAGUUGAAUUAUUCCUUUCGAUCACUGUCCAUAACAACACUGGCAGAUGAAGUAUUUUUACUAUUAUCGCUUGCAAAAUUCCAUGCUUUAUUUGCACGCACAAAUCUGGUCCAUAUACAAACUAGAAAAUGAUCAAGUACAACAUGCAACACUUAGAACAAGAGAACAUAACUCAAAAACAAGAAGAACAAGAAUUUGUUAGAUAUUCAUCCAUGGAAAUCAAGUAUUAUUUUUAAGGAGAGUGAUCGGCUCAAUUCCAAACUAUAUAUCAACAAAUUAUUAGCUAAAAUAUCGACAAUGUACCAUAUACUAGUAUUGCAUACAUGUUAGUACUCGAUACCAACAAAUUAUUUUCCAAAAUUAAGACCCCUGAGGUAUGUGACUUGAAGAAUAUUAGUUAGAAUACUUUUUUAUGGUCCAACAUAUGCCCAGGGGACCAGGCAGAGUCCUAUAUAAAUGGGAUUGAAUUCAUAGUGCAAGUCAUUCAAGCCCUAGUUAAUUCCUUAUCCUUGUUAGUUUUGCAGUUAAUAAAUUAGAAGAAGAUGGUUUUCGAUACAAAUUAUAAGGUCCCGAACAACGUUCCCUACACCGAGCAGCAGAUAAUGAAUGUCUUCAAAAGUCAUGACAAGAAUGGAGAUGCUCAACUUUCCAAAGAGGAGCUGAAAGAAGCCUUCAAAGAACUUGGCUCGAAAUGUCCUCCUUUAAGAGCUUGGUUUGCUAAAAAUUAUGCAGAUGACAACCGCGAUGGCUUCAUUUCUAUAGACAAGGAGCUCAGCAAGCUCGUCAAGUAUGUCCUAAAAUUGAACUAUACACUUCAUUAAUUAUAGUAUUAGUGGGUAACUAGUUCUCAGCAAGCUCGUUGACUAUGCUGUCAACUGAAGCUCUAUAUAUGUGUGUGGAUAUAUAAACAUAGUGGCGGAGCUAGACUUGGCAUCUUGGGGGGUUGCAAUCACUUCAAGCUUAUAUAUGACUCCGUUCGUGUGUAAGCAUAUGUAAUUACUUGUAAUUCGUAUUACCUAUGUUACUAUGUAUGUGUGCAGGGUAGAGGAAACGAAGGAGAUGACCUUUCGGUACCUCUCGUUUCCGGGAAAGAUGAAUUUGAACCCUGAUUAUGUAUAAUAUAUAGUGAUUAACAAAAAUAAAGUAACAAACUUUGUGUAGUGACAUCUAUUAGGUAUAUGUAUGUGUGUCUAAUAUAUUAUAGUACAUACGUAUAUACGUACACAACUCACACUGAUAAAGUUCCAUGUUAUGGAGAUUAUUACAAUCCACUCACCACCACAUGUGGAAAGAUUGUGAUAUGAGCAGAUCUAGAGCAAUUUCACAUGCAUCCAUAUCAAUAUCUUGCUCAAGUAGCAUAGAGAUUUAAAUUUAAAUCCUCAUAAGUAUAUCCAAAAAAAG